rnacentral:rRNA from 1 species
ACGGGUGAGUAAUAUAUCGGAACGUGCCCAAUCGUGGGGGAUAACGUAGAGAAAUUUACGCUAAUACCGCAUACGAUCUAGGGAUGAAAGCGGGGGAUCGCAAGACCUCGCGCGAUUGGAGCGGCUGAUAUCAGAUUAGGUUGUUGGUGAGGUAAAAGCUCACCAAGCCGACGAUCUGUAGCUGGUUUGAGAGAACGACCAGCCACACUGGGACUGAGACACGGCCCAGACUCCUACGGGAGGCAGCAGUGGGGAAUUUUGGACAAUGGGCGAAAGCCUGAUCCAGCAAUGCCGCGUGCAGGAAGAAGGCCUUCGGGUUGUAAACUGCUUUUGUACGGAACGAAACGGCUCUUUCUAAUAAAGAGGGCUAAUGACGGUACCGUAAGAAUAAGCACCGGCUAACUACGUGCCAGCAGCCGCGGUAAUACGUAGGGUGCGAGCGUUAAUCGGAAUUACUGGGCGUAAAGCGUGCGCAGGCGGUUAUGUAAGACAGUUGUGAAAUCCCCGGGCUCAACCUGGGAAUUGCAUCUGUGACUGCAUAGCUAGAGUACGGUAGAGGGGGAUGGAAUUCCGCGUGUAGCAGUG